UACGUAGGUGACAAGCGUUGUCCGGAUUUACUGGGCGUAAAGAGCGCGCAGGCGGUCGAUCAAGUCGAGUGUGAAAGCCCCCGGCCCAACUGGGGAGGGUCAUUCGAAACUGGUCGACUCGAAGGCAGGAGAGGGUAGUGGAAUUCUUGGUGUAGCGGUGAAAUGCGUAGAUAUCAAGAGGAACACCUGCGGCGAAGGCGGGUUGCUGGGCCGACACUGACGCUGAGGCGCGAAAGCCAGGGGAGCGAACGGG
rnacentral:rRNA from 1 species